CAAUAGCGUAUAUUUAAGUUGUUGCAGUUAAAAAGCUCGUAGUUGGAUUUCGGGCGGGUGACGGCGGUCCGCCUCUGGUGUGCACUGCCGGCAUCCGCCUUUCUGUCGGGGACGGGCUCCUGGGCUUCAUUGCUUGGGACUCGGGUUCGACGUGGUUACUUUGAGUAAAUUAGAGUGUUCAAAGCAGGCGAUCGCCCUGAAUACAUUAGCAUGGAAUAGCACGAUAGGACUCUGGCCUAUUUUGCUGGUCUGUAGGACCGGAGUAAUGAUUAAGAGGGACAGUCGGGGGCAUUCGUAUUUCAUUGUCAGAGGUGAAAUUCUUGGAUUUAUGAAAGACGAACUGCUGCGAAAGCAUUUGCCAAGGAUGUUUUCAUUG
rnacentral:rRNA from 1 species